UGACGCUAAAGUAGCCAUGAUGUAUAGCCACGGAUGUGCCACCUGCUACCGAUGACGGUCGAACGGUUAAUAUCAUAGUUAGCGUUAAUAUCAACGGUAACGUAACUUCUGAACAUAUAUAAUAAAUAUUUAGAAAUAACGUGGAACUUAUAGGUGUGACGGCGUCUAUGACUGCAACAUUGAAACUACAGAUCCAGGAUGAUGACAAUUGCAUCAGGGGAAUAGGAUGCCAAAUCUCUCACAGCUUUCAUGAGUUGGUGAUCCUGUCUCAACCCAUGCUGCCUGGUUAUGCCAUACAACAUAUCUUUAGCACACAUAGGCCUAUGUGACAGCAAUACCAGUAGAUCAAAAUGAAUGGCGUGACACUGAUUGGGACAGACAGCAUCAUUAAAAUAAAGCCUGGCAUGUAGUGAACACUGAUGAAGCCG